GACGUAGGGUGCGAGCGUUGUCCGGAUUUAUUGGGCGUAAAGAGCUCGUAGGCGGCUCGUCGCGUCGACCGUGAAAACCCGCGGCUUAACUGCGGGCUUGCGGUUGAUACGGGCGGGCUAGAGUUCGGUAGGGGAGACUGGAAUUCCUGGUGUAGCGGUGAAGUGCGCAGAUAUCAGGAGGAACACCGGUGGCGAAGGCGGGUCUCUGGGCCGAUACUGACGCUGAGGAGCGAAAGCGUGGGGAGCGAACAGG
rnacentral:rRNA from 1 species